AUGACACCGUUAGCCAGCAGUGUGUCUCCUGAAAAGAGAGCUGAUUAGAGAGGCAGUUUUGAAUUUAGGAGUGGCAAGAUGGCAGCGGCAAACCCUGGCGGUUCUCCGGGUUCGUGGCAACCACGGAUGGGGAAAAUGUGGAGGUUGCACGGCUGAUGUUUACUGUUCAUGGCACAGGAAGAGGCAGUUUUAUUUCAGGAAUGAGUGUGCACAAUCAAAGAAUAGAGCGACUGUGGAGAGACCUCUGGGUGGCCAUUACAUGCUUUACUACGAUGUUCUUCACAACCUUGAGGAAGAAGACCUUCUUGACAUUUCAAAUGCUGCACACCUCUUUUGCUGCCAUUACAUCUUUCUUCCUCGACUGGAGGAUGAUUUUAAUACAUUUUGCAGUGGAUGGGACAACCAUCCACUGCGAACAGAAAACAACAUGAGUCCCAACCAGCUGUGGGAGUUGGGUCACAGAUAUCACCCUGUUCCUGUUCCAGAAAACACACAGCUUAUCACACAUUUGAUUUCCAUGUGUGACAACUGCAAGUGUCCAGAGUGAGGACAGAC